rnacentral:lncRNA from 1 species
UUUCCGUGAGUUGUGUUGUUAACUCGUUGUCUCUGUCAUGAGGUAUGAGAGUUGAUAUGAGAUUGAUCGAGACAAUUGCUGCGAACGGAGUGUUGUGCUCUUGAGCUUGCACUGCAUUGCAUGCUCUUUCAAGGUUCACGAUAGGAAUAUUUGUAGCCAGUAGUUGGCGACGAUCUGCUCGGGCAGCAUUACAUGCCCUUCUUUGAUUUCUCUGUUCAGAGGUUUCAUCUUGCGG